ACAGUACUGUGAGGGUUCUAGUUCUCAUCAACAUGUAUAGUAUAGUCACUCAUACUGUACAGUACUGUGAGGAUUCUAGUUCUCCCUCUCUCCUGCAUUUGGCCACAAGUUCUUAUCAAAUUACAUCUUAUGUCUUCUCUGGCGAUGCAUCUUGGAGAGUAUCUUCUGGAAUGUCUAAUCCAACCCUGGCAGUCUUCAGGAGAAGUGUCUCCACACCCCACAUUCAUCGCAUCCAGCAAGGACAUCUGGUCAUGUGGAUGGUGGUAAUAAACCUUCCACCUCCACACAGAGAGAAACUCCUCUAUGGGGUUUAGGAAGGGGGAGUAUGGAGGCAGGAAUAGUACUGACAUCCUGGGAUGUGCAGCAAACCAGUCUGUGACUGCAGCAGAGUGGUGGAAUGCCACAUUAUCCCGCACAACAACAAAGGUCGUUGCUGUAAAUGAGAACGUGUUCUCAGUCAACUGAUCUGGUUAAAUAACGGUAAAACAAUGUUAGCUCCUCUCUGGCCUGGGACAUCCAUGGUUGCUCUCUGUCCAAUCACAUUUCUUCCCCUGUGGCGUGUUUUUGCCGGGUUGAAUCCAGCUUCAUCCACAAAGAUGAAUGUAUGUAUAGUUUGCCUGGCUUCCAUCUCCAUUACUCUCUAAAAUACAGUAAAUCCACAGUUUCACAGUACUUUACAUUAUGCAUAGCUGUGUAUGUAGCCUGUUUGGUUAUUGAACAGACAUCUUACCUGGACAUAUUGAUACCAGAGUUCUUUCACACAUUCACUGUUUCUCUCAAAGGGUACAGUGUACAACUGCUUCAUCCUUGUUUAUGUUUCUCUAGGACUCUGGCAAUUGUUGUUGUACUGACCAUAUUCACAUUCCCAAAAGUGAUAUUGUCUACCAGCACUUUGUCCCGAAUUUCCUGCAGUUUUAUUGCAUUGUUGCCAAUUACCAUGUCAACAAUGACAAUUUCCUGUGCAUCUGAUAAUAUUCUGCCUCUCCCUCCUGUGGGAGGCAACGUUUGGAUCCUACUGAAAAACACCAAACAAUCAAUAUAUUUCUAAAUGCCAGUACAUGUAAAAAUGUGAACAUACUGUAUUGUACUGUAGUAUGUAGUUCAAUUAUCACUGAAGGAUACACAUCUCACCUGUUGUUUUGCUGGAAAAUUUGUACUAUUGAUGCAACUGUUGAACGCUGCAGAUUUGGUUGCACUCUUAAACCAGCCUCUCUCAAAGAGAGAUAAUUGUGGCCCUUAUUUCAUCAGAGACCAGCGCUCUUGGUCUUUCUCUCCUUUGUCCUCCACACAUUCUCCCUCUCCCUGCCACUCUUCUUUCCCCACCAACCUGUCUUCCUUGAUCCAUGUUUUCAAAUUAAAUCAUUCUGAAGCAGUCCUCGUUUGUCUGUUUGGUAACGAGACUAAAAACAGGACACUUGGGUAGGCUUUCAGCUGAAAUUACAAUCAGCUGUGUUUGGAAUGAUGAAAUAUUCUGCUGAGAUUUUCUAUAUGUUUCAAUCUGGUUACUGCAGAAAUGCACGACAUUUGCCAUCAUUCUGUUUUGAAUGUGUUUUUAACAGUUUGUAAACACUGCGUUAGCCUUUGAACAUUUGCAGGUGGUGGAGUGUGAAUGAGAAAAGAGUUCAUAGAUUUCGUAGAAUGUGGUCAUUGAAUGUAUUUUGUAUCGAAGCAAUGAAAAAUGAUUCACAGUUUGGUCCACAUACACUUCUGUUUCACUGACUGUGUGAAUAGUUUUGACAAUGUGACUUCAGUUUUGACCAAUCCAUGUUAGCAAAUGAAAAAAAAACUGUAAAUGUCUAAACUUAACUCUAACACUAAGACAUUUGACAUUUGAGAAACAUGAAUAAACAUCUAAUUCUGACUGAAAGCUGGCUGACACCCCUGGCUUAGAGGAAGCAGAUACACAGUAUAUGCUUCCUCUAAGCCAAGGGUGUCAAACUUGUUCCAUGGAGAGCCGAGCAUCUGAGGGUUUUUGUUUUUUCUUUUAAUUAAAACCUAGACAACCAGGUGAGGAGAGUUAGUGACCUUAAUUCAUCAGUCAAGUAAAAGGGAGGAGAGAAAACCCGCAGACACUCGGCCCUCCGUGGAAUGAGUUUGACACGUGCUCUAAGAGAUGAUCUGAGGACACAUGUCAAGAUGGAUGAAAGAAAGAUGAAAGGAAAUGAAGAAAAAGAGAGCAAGAGAGAGAGACAGAGAGACAGAUAGAGACAGAGACAGAGAGAAAGAGAGAGAGAGACAGAGACAGAGACAGAGAGAGACUUCCUGUCUGACUGACGUGCCCAAAUUACACUGUCUGUUACUCAGGCCCAGAAGCCAGGAUAUGUAUAUAAUUGGUACCAUUGAAUAGAAAACACUUUGAAGUUUGUAGAAAUGUUAGAACAAUGUAUGAGACUAUAACACAAUUGAUAUGGUAUGACAAAAUCCAAAGAAAAACCAACCAGAAUAAAAACAAAUUGAGAGUCCAUGCACUUCCAUUGGCACGUAUAGGGUCAUAUCGAAAUCCACUUCCCAGAUUGCAAUUCCUAUGACUUCCACUAGAUGUCAACAGUCUUUGUUCAAAGUUUCAGGCUUGUUUCUUCCCAAACGAGAAAGAAUUUUGAGUUUUGGUACUGGGUGUCGGAGUUGGAAAUCAGUCUGUGUGCGCGCGACGAAGAGGACUCGCACUUGGUAAUUUAGCUUUUCUAUUGAACAUACUUCUUUCCGUAUUAAAUAUUAUAGUUUAUUUACAUUUAGGGUACCUGAGGAUUUAAUAGAAACAUAUUUUGACUUGUUUUAACAAAUUUUAGCGGUAGCUUUUUGGAUUCCUUUCUAUGCAUGUUGAACGAGUGGAUUACUCAAAUCGAUGGGGCCAACUAAACAGACUUUGUCGGAUAUAAAGAAGGAUUUUAUCUAACAAAAUGAACAUGCAUGUUGUAGCUGGGACCCUUUGGAUUGCAAAUCAGAGGAAGAUUUUCAAAAACUAAGUGAAUAUUUAAUCGCUAUUUGUGAUUUUAUGAAGCCUGUGCUGCUUGAAAAAUAUUUUGAUGUGGGCCGCCGUCCUCAAACAAUUGUAUGGCAUGCUUUCGCUGUAAAGCCUAUUGUAAAUCGGACAAUGCAGUUAGAUUAACAAGAAUUUAAGCUUUUAACCGAUAUAUGACACUUGUAUGUACCUAAAUGUCUAAUAUCCAUAAUUUUUAUGACUAUUUAUUUGAAUUGCGCGCCUGUCACAUCCUGAUCAUAGAAAGCUGUUAUUUUCUAUGGUAGAGUAGGUCAGGGCGUGACAGGUUUUUUUUCUAGUUUAGAUUUUCUAUGAUGUUAGGUUCUAGUUUUGUAUUUCUAUGUUGGGUUUUGUUUGGGAAAAACUCAAAUUAGAGGCAGCUGGUCAUCGUUGUGUUUAAUUGGAGAUCAUCAUAGGUGUUUUUCCCACCUGGGUUUGUGGGAGAUAGUUUUAGAGUACGUGUAUGUUAACUCUUCGUCACGGUUUGUUGUUUUUGUUUAUUCCAUUUAUUUUGUAUGUAUUGCAUAGUUUCACAGUUCAAUAAAAUAUGUGGAACGAUAAUCACGCUGCACUUUGGUCCGCUUCAUCCUACGACAACUGUGACAGAAUAUCCCACCACCAAAGGACCAAGCAGCGUGAAAUGGACCAGUGGACUUUUGCAUUUGCAUUUUAGUAAUUUAGCAGACGCUCUCAUCCAGAGCGACUUACAGUAGUGAAUGCAUACAUUUCAUAAAUUUUUUCUCCAUACUGGUCCCCCGUGGGAAUCGAACCCACAACCCUGGCGUCGCAAACACCAUGCUCUACCAACUGAGCCACACGGGACUUGGGAGGUGAUACUGGACGGGAAAGGACCCUGGAGGCAGGCUGGGGAGUAUCGCCAUCCUAAAGAGGAGAUUGAGGCAGCGAAAGCGGAGCGGCGAUAUUACGAGGCACUAUACCAACCACGAGGCAAGUGCGAGAGGCAGCCUCCCAAUUUUUCUUGAGGGGGGCACACGGGGAGAUUGGCAUAGUCAGAGUGGAGACCUGAGCCAACUCCCUGUGCUUACCGUGGGGAGCGAGUGACGAAGCAAGCACCGUGUUAUGCGGUGAUGCGCACAGUGUCGCCAGUGCACAUUCACAGCCCUGUGCGAUCUGUGCCCACGCCCCGCAUUUGUCGAGCUAGGUUGAGCAUUCAGGCAGGAAGGAUGGUGCCAGCUCAGUGCUCCUGGUCUCCAGUUCGCCUUCUCGGUCCAGGAUAUCCUGCGCCGGCUCUGCGCACUGUCGCCCGUGCGUAUUCACAGCCCCGCGUUUGCCAGGCAAAAGUAAGCAUCCAGCCAGGAUGGGUUGUGCCAGCUUUACGCUCGAGACCUCCGGUGCGCCUCCACGGCCCAGUAUAUCCUGUGCCUGCCCCACGUAUCCGGCCUCCAGUGAGUCUAUCCAGCCUGGUACACCCAGUACCUGCUCCUCGCAUUUGCCCUGAGGUGCGUGUCACCAGUCUGGCACCACCUGUACCAGCCCCACGCAUCAGGCCUCCAGUGCGCCUGCCCAGUCCAGAGCUUCCGGCGACAGUUCCCAGUCCAGAGCUUCCGGCGACAGUUCCCAGUCCAGAGCUUCCGGCGACAGUUCCCAGUCCAGAGCUUCCGGCGACAUUUUACAGUCCGGAACCUCCUGAGAAGGCCUACAGCCCGAACCUCCUGAGACGACCCACAGUCCGGAAACUCCUGAGACGGCCCACAGUCCGGAACCUCCUUUAGACGGCCCACAGUCCGGAACCUCCUUUAGACGGCCCACAGUCCGGAACCUCCUGAGACGGCCCACAGUCCGGAACCUCCUGAGACGGCCCACAGUCC
rnacentral:lncRNA from 1 species